UACAUGGGGUGCAAACGUUGCUCGGAAUCAUUGGGCGUAAAGCGCGCGUAGGCGGUUACUUAAGUUGGAUGUGAAAGCCCCUGGCUCAACUGGGGAAGUGCACCCGAAACUGAGUGGCUUGAGUACAAAAGAGGGUCGCGGAAUUCCCGGUGUAGAGGUGAAAUUCGUAGAUAUCGGGAGGAACACCGGUGGCGAAGGCGGCGACCUGGGUUGAUACUGACGCUGAGGCGCGAAAGCUUGGGUAGCAAACGGG
rnacentral:rRNA from 1 species